rnacentral:lncRNA from 1 species
UUUUUCUUUGGUAUGUAAUACCAAGUAGGAAAACCAAAACAAUGAGUAUUUUAUAGAGAAGAUUUUUUAUCAUAAAAUUUUUUGUAUAGUGACUUACCACCAAGUCUUAUAAAUAGAAGGUAAUUACAAUUCCAAGUCACAAAUUUUGUUGCAAAUGCCUAAUAGUAAUGAUCUAACUUGGCAUCAUCUAGAAGUGCUUGUACUCCUUCAAAAAUAGUUUGCAUCAUAUAUUCUGCCAUGCUAACAAUUUCAUGUGUAUAUACAAGAGUGAUCAUGUGCCAAAUGCCACUAACUUUGUAAUAAGAACCAAGCUUACUAUUUAAGAAUUGAGUGUCUUAGUUAAUAAAAAAAAGUUUUUAUCUUUCUUCUAAUUCUUCUUUGUUCCUCUACUUCCCAAGUCUUCUAAGCAACAUGUACUUGGUCCUUAAUUUGAAGAAAUGCAAGGCU